rnacentral:rRNA from 1 species
AGAGUUUGAUCAUGGCUCAGGAUGAAUGCUGGCGGCGUGCCUAACACAUGCAAGUCGAGCGGCAGCGCGAGUAGUUUACUACUUGGCGGCGAGCGGCGGACGGCUGAGUAACGCGUGGGAACAUGCCCCAAAGUGAGGGAUAAGCACCGGAAACGGUGUCUAAUGCCGCAUAUGGUCUUCGGAUUAAAGGAUUUAUCCGCUUUGGGAGUGGCCUGCGUACGAUUAGAUAGUUGGUGAGGUAAAGGCUCACCAAGUCGACGAUCGUUAACUGGUCUGAGAGGAUGAUCAGUCAGACUGGAACUGAGACACGGUCCAGACUCCUACGGGAGGCAGCAGUGAGGAAUCUUCCACAAUGGGCGAAAGCCUGAUGGAGCAACGCCGCGUGAAGGAUGAAGGCCCUAGGGUCGUAAACUUCUUUUAUGAGUGAAGAAUAUGACGGUAACUCAUGAAUAAGCACCGGCUAACUACGUGCCAGCAGCCGCGGUCAUACGUAGGGUGCAAGCAUUAUCCGGAGUGACUGGGCGUAAAGAGUUGCGUAGGCGGUUAGUAAAGCGAAUAGUGAAACCUGGUGGCUCAACCAUUCAGACUAUUAUUCGAACUCACUAACUCGAGAAUGGUAGAGGUAAUUGGAAUUUCUUGUGUAGGAGUGAAAUCCGUAGAUAUAAGAAGGAACACCAAUGGCGUAGGCAGAUUACCGGACCAUUUCUGACGCUAAGGCACGAAAGCGUGGGGAGCGAACCGGAUUAGAUACCCCGGUAGUCC